rnacentral:rRNA from 1 species
GAUGAACGCUGGCGGCGUGCCUAAUACAUGCAAGUCGAGCGAACAGACGAGGAGCUUGCUCCUCUGACGUUAGCGGCGGACGGGUGAGUAACACGUGGAUAACCUACCUAUAAGACUGGGAUAACUUCGGGAAACCGGAGCUAAUACCGGAUAAUAUAUUGAACCGCAUGGUUCAAUAGUGAAAGACGGUUUUGCUGUCACUUAUAGAUGGAUCCGCGCCGCAUUAGCUAGUUGGUAAGGUAACGGCUUACCAAGGCAACGAUGCGUAGCCGACCUGAGAGGGUGAUCGGCCACACCGGAACUGAGAACCGGUCCAGACUCCUACGGGAGGCAGGAGGUGGGAAUUUUUCGGAAAGGGCGAAAGCCUGACGGAGCAACGCCGCGUGAGUGAUGAAGGUCUUCGGAUCGUAAAACUCUGUUAUUAGGGAAGAACAAAUGUGUAAGUAACUAUGCACGUCUUGACGGUACCUAAUCAGAAAGCCACGGCUAACUACGUG